rnacentral:rRNA from 1 species
GACGAACGCUGGCGGCGUGCUUAACACAUGCAGGUCGAACGGAAAGGCCCUGCUUUUGUGGGGUGCUCGAGUGGCGAACGGGUGAGUAACACGUGAGUAACCUGCCCUUGACUUUGGGAUAACUUCAGGAAACUGGGGCUAAUACCGGAUAGGAGCUCCUGCUGCAUGGUGGGGGUUGGAAAGUUUCGGCGGUUGUGGAUGGACUCGCGGCUUAUCAGCCUGUUGGUGGGGUAGUGGCUUACCAAGGCUUUGACGGGUAGCCGGCCUGAGAGGGUGACCGGCCACAUUGGGAAUAAGAUACGGCCCAGACUCCUACGGGAGGCAGCAGUGGGGAAUAUUGCACAAUGGGCGGAAGCCUGAUGCAGCAACGCCGCGUGCGGGAUGACGGCCUUCGGGUUGUAAACCGCUUUCGCCUGUGACGAAGCGUGAGUGACGGUAAUGGGUAAAGAAGCACCGGCUAACUACGUG